rnacentral:rRNA from 1 species
GUGGGGAAUUUUGGACAAUGGGCGCAAGCUUGAUCCAGCCAUUCCGCGUGCAGGAUGAAGGCCUUCGGGUUGUAAACUGCUUUUGUACGGAACGAAAAGCCUCUGGUUAAUACCCGGGGGUCAUGACGGUACCGUAAGAAUAAGCACCGGCUAACUACGUGCCAGCAGCCGCGGUAAUACGUAGGGUGCAAGCGUUAAUCGGAAUUACUGGGCGUAAAGCGUGCGCAGGCGGUUUUGUAAGACAGGCGUGAAAUCCCCGGGCUCAACCUGGGAAUUGCGCUUGUGACUGCAAGGCUGGAGUGCGGCAGAGGGGGAUGGAAUUCCGCGUGUAGCAGUGAAAUGCGUAGAUAUGCGGAGGAACACCGAUGGCGAAGGCAAUCCCCUGGGCCUGCACUGACGCUCAUGCACGAAAGCGUGGGGAGCAAACAGGAUUAGAUACCCUAGUAGUCC